rnacentral:rRNA from 1 species
CGCCUCAUGAAAAACCUAUAAGAGGUCCAGCCUGCCCAGUGACUCUGUUCAACGGCCGCGGUAUCCUAACCGUGCGAAGGUAGCGUAAUCACUUGUUCUUUAAAUAAGGACUAGUAUGAAUGGCACCACGAAGGUUAUACUGUCUCCUUUUUCCAAUCAGUGAAACUAAUCUUCCCGUGAAGAAGCGGGAAUAAUCUUAUAAGACGAGAAGACCCUAUGGAGCUUUAAAUUAUCAACAAUUAUCUUUUUUUAAUUUUACUAAAACAGAAUCAAUUCUGAUAAUAUGAUUGUUAAUUUUCGGUUGGGGUGACCGCGGAGUAAAAUUUAUCCUCCACGAUGAACAGGACAUGCUCCUAAACAAAGAAUUACAAUUCAAAGCAUCAAAAAAAUUGACAUUAUUGACCCAAUACUUUGAUCAACGAACCAAGUUACCCUAGGGAUAACAGCGCAAUCUAUCUUAAGAGUUCAUAUCGACAGAUAGGCUUACGACCUCGAUGUUGGAUCAGGGUAUCCCAGUGGUGCAGCCGCUACUAAAGGUUCGUUUGUUCAACGAUUAAAACCCU